CGGCAGGCCUAACACAUGCAAGUCGAACGGUAGCACAGAGAGCUUGCUCUCGGGUGAMRAGUGRCGGACGGGURAGUAAUGUCUGGGAAACKGCCUGAUGGAGGGGGAUAACUACUGGAAACGGUAGCUAAUACCGCAUAACGUCGCAAGACCAAAGAGGGGGACCUUCGGGCCUCUUGCCAUCAGAUGUGCCCAGAUGGGAUUAGSUAGUAGGUGGGGUAACGGCUCACCUAGGCGACGAUCCCUAGCUGGUCUGAGAGGAUGACCAGCCACACUGGAACUGAGACACGGUCCAGACUCCUACGGGAGGCAGCAGUGGGGAAUAUUGCACAAUGGGCGCAAGCCUGAUGCAGCCAUGCCGCGUGUAUGAAGAAGGCCUUCGGGUUGUAAAGUACUUUCAGCGGGGAGGAAGGYGAUAAGGUUAAUAACCUUGUCGAUUGACGUUACCCGCAG
rnacentral:rRNA from 1 species